rnacentral:rRNA from 1 species
CGAAAGGCGUAACGAUUUGGGCACUGUCUCAACAACAGACUCGGUGAAAUUGUAAUUCCGGUGAAGAUGCCGGAUACCUGCGACAGGACGGAAAGACCCCAUGGAGCUUUACUGUAGCUUGACAUUGGGUCUUGGUACUACAUGUACAGGAUAGGUGGGAGGCUUUGAAACCAGGACGCCAGUUUUGGCGGAGCCAUCCUUGGGAUACCACCCUUGUAGUACUGGGACUCUAACCAUAGGCCAUGAAUCUGGUCUUGGGACACUGUCAGGUGGGCAGUUUGACUGGGGCGGUCGCCUCCCAAAAGGUAACGGAGGCGCUCAAAGGUUCUCUCAGUACGGUCGGAAAUCGUACGUAGAGUGUAAAGGCAAAAGAGAGCUUGAUUGCAAGACAUACAGGUCGAGCAAGGAUGAAAAUCGGACUUAGUGAUCCGGUGGUUCUGCGUGGAAGGGCCAUCGCUCAACGGAUAAAAGCUACCCUGGGGAUAACAGGCUUAUCUCCCCCAAGAGUCCACAUCGACGGGGAGGUUUGGCACCUCGAUGUCGGCUCAUCACAUCCUGGGGCUGUAGUAGGUCCCAAGGGUUGGGCUGUUCGCCCAUUAAAGUGGUACGCGAGCUGGGUUCAGAACGUCGUGAGACAGUUCGGUCCCUAUCCGUCGCAGGCGUAGGAAAUUUGAGAAGACCUGUCCUUAGUACGAGAGGACCGGGAUGGACGUACCUCUGGUGUACCAGUUGUCCUGCCAAGGGCAUGGCUGGGUAGCUAUGUACGGAAUGGAUAAGCGCUGAAAGCAUCUAAGCGCGAAGCCAACUUCAAGAUAAGAUUUCCCACCGCAAGGGUAAGACCCCAGAAAGACUAUCUGGUUGAUAGGUCGAAGGUGUAAGUGCAGCAAUGUAUUUAGCUUAUCGAUACUAAUAGGUCGAGGACUUGACCAAU